rnacentral:rRNA from 1 species
AAAAGGAGGCUUGCUCCUUUGACGUUAGCGGCGGACGGGUGAGUAACACGUGGGCAACCUACCCUAUAGUUUGGGAUAACUCCGGGAAACCGGGGCUAAUACCGAAUAAUCUCUUUUGCUUCAUGGCAAGAGACUGAAAGACGGCUUCUCGCUGUCCCUAUAGGAGGGGCCCGCGGCGCAUUACCUAGUUGGGGAGGUAACGGCUCACCAGGGCGACAAUGCGUACCCAACCUGAGAAGGGUGAUCGGCCACACUGGGAACUGAAACACGGCCCAAACUCCUACGGGAAGGCAGCAGUAGGGAAUCUUCCACAAGGGGCGAAAGCCUGAUGGACCACCGCCCCGGGAGUGAAAAAGGUUUUCGAAUCGUAAAACUCUGUUGUAAGGAAAAAACAAGUACAGUAUUAACUGGCUGUACCUUGACGGUACCUUAUUAAAAGGCCACGGCUAAUUACUUGCCACCACCCGCGGUAAUACUUAGGUGGCAAGCGUUGUCCGGAAUUAUGGGGCGUAAAGCGCGCGCAGGCGGUCCUUUAGUUCUGAUGUGAAAGCCCACGGCUCACCCGUGAAGGGUCAUUGGAAACUGGGGGACCUUGAGUGCAAAGAGGAAAGUGAUUUCCAAGUGUAACGGUGAAAUGCGUAGAGAUUUGAGGACACCAGUGGCGAAGGCAACUUUCUGGUCUGUAACUGACGCUGAGGCGCGAAAGCGUGUGAGCAAACAGGAUUAAGAAUACCUGUAGUCAACGCCGGUAAACGAUGAUGCUAAGUGUAAGGGGUUUCGCCCUAGUGCUGCAGCUAACGCAAUAAGCACUCGCUGGGGAGUA